rnacentral:rRNA from 1 species
CCUACGGGAGGCAGCAGUGGGGAAUAUUGGGCAAUGGGCGCAAGCCUGACCCAGCCACGCCGCGUGAAGGAAGAAGCCUUUCGGGUUGUAAACUUCUUUUAAGAGGGAAGAGCAGAAGACGGUACCUCUUGGAUGAGCCACCGCUAACUAGGUGCCAGCGACCGCGGUAAUACGUAGGUGGCAAGCGUUGUCCGGAUUUACGGGGUGUAAAGGGCGUUCAGCUGGGAAGACAAGUCGGGUGUGAAGGCCCGCGGCUCAACGGCGGAACUGCCUUUGAUACUGUCUUUCUGGAGUACCGGUGAGGUGAUAGGAAUGCCUUGUGUAGCGGUGAAAUGCGUAGAUAUAAGGAAGAACACCAGUGGCGAAGGCGGAUGACUGGACGGCAAUUGACGGUGAGGCGCGAAAGCGUGGGGAGCAAACAGGAUUAGAUACCCGUGUAGUC